UAAGCACAAGUGUGGUGUUGGAACCCUCAA
rnacentral:piRNA from 1 species